UAUAGCAGCGAGGCAACACCUGUUCCCAUUCCGAACACAGUAGUUAAGCUUGUCUGCGCCGAUGGUACUGCAUGGGCAACUGUGUGGGAGAGUAGGUCGUCGCCAUCG
rnacentral:rRNA from 1 species